UUGGCGGGAUUACCAUUUCAGUUGUAACUUGUAAUUGUCACCUGACGGUGAAGUGUUCGUUACCAGCAACGUUACGUAAAACUGCCUUAUCUCUGAGAUCAGCUUUAAGCAGAAAGCGUCCAUUUGCGGGAGUGACGAAAGCUUAUCCAUUAAACGUUUACGAUCAAGAUUGUGCUCAUAUAUGUAGGCUACAAGUCCCCGUAAUACUGUUUAACGGAAUGUAGGCCUAGGCCUAGUGCAUAAUACGUACCACCCAAGCCGCAAUUCCAGAAGGGUGUGCUCCUUUCACUGUAUAAAUAAUUGCAGUGGAACUCGCAUGUAAAUAAAGGUUGCCUUUAAUGUCUCCACGAAGUAGCUGACUUUCACCAUGAUAUCAUCAGUCACGAAUUCGAUUCCGUACCGAGGUCGAUGUAUUAGAAUCCAGUUCGAUAAAACCCAUCGCACCUCUGUUUGCAUGAAUUAUGCUAUAUUUCAUUCCAUCUGUCUGCUCACCCACGAAGGUUUUAGGUAAUUGUAACAUACACAGCUUGUCUCCAGUGGCUGAAAUUAAUGUCUUCGAUUUCGUAGUAUGAUCAAGUUGCAAACUGUUCCCUCAGUAAUAUAUCAGAAUGCUUAUUUAUGCGAAGAAUCCUCAGACUAAUAUUGAUCAUAAGCAGGCCGAUUUAUAUUACCAAUGUAAAGGUAACAAUACAAGCACAGGAAAGAUGAACUU